CUUCCUUCACAAUUUCGUCUUUGCCCUCCUCCUCAUGCAUUCCGCCACCUAGCUGCGCAAACUCCUCCUAGCUUUAUGCCUUCAUUCUGUACUCUCUUGCUUCUCUCUUCAGCUCUUUUCUCUCUCCUCAUUUUCUCUGCCAUUCGAGCUCCUCAUUUUCUAGGGUUAUAAACUUCCAUUCCCUUCUUCCUAAUUCACUCCAUCGAAUACAAAACAACUAUAACUCCUAACUAUCAAUUUCAAAUCGAAACUAUAAAUUCUUAAUUACAAAGUGACCGAUGAACGAUUUUUGGAAAAUUAGGGUUUCUGUUCUUCAAAAAGGGUCAGAUCUUCGCGUGUUUUGAUCAAUUGAAUGCUAUUUUCGCUACUUUUGUUGAUUGUUGAUGGGAUUCUGUAUGGCCAUCUCCCAUCGAAGGGUUUCUGUUCUUCAGAAAGGGUCAGAUCUUCGCGUGUUUUGAUCAAUUGAAUGCUAUUUUCGCUACUUUUGUUGAUUGUUGAUGGGAUUCUGUAUGGCCAUCUCCCAUCGAAGAUCUGCUUUUCCUCCUUUGCUUCUUCCUACUCGCUCGAACCAAAUCCAACACCAGUGUGUGUUGCAGAGAUGAAGAUUAUUGCCGCUUGCUUGUUGGUUGCUUUGGGCGUGUCACCCUCUGCAUUGCCAUCUUUUGUGUGACAAUGCAGACGUCCCCUUCUUCUUACAACAGAUCCAUCUAGCAGUCCUGAUCACCGUGGAAAUAUUGCUCAGUUCAUCAUGGCAUCAAUGACCACACUUAGCUGUCAUGGUCCACGAGUUUGGUCAUCUGAAAUGCGACCAUUGAGUGGCUGACAUAUGCAAAUAUCCUUGCUCUUGGGGCACAUAGGAAGUUCAGUCUCAGGCGUUUGGGAACUUUUGAGUGCUUCAGUGAGGAUGUAGAUUCAACCUGGUCUCUUGAGAGACAACACAAAGCAUUCUUGUUGAAGUUUGUGGACCAUUUUCUGAGGACUUGUGGAAGGGGAUCAUAAUCAACAAGUUAACAUUUUAUGGCGUGAAGCUAUGUUCACGAUGCAAGGUUAUAGCAUCUCAAGAUUGGCCAAAAGUAACAAAAUAACAAAGUAUGCAGGCAUGGUAUCUGCUCAGGCACACAAAUAAGGAAUUAUACAAGAUCUUUAUAACCCUGGCAAUAUGCAUUUUGAGAUUGGAUUUGAUCGUUGAUAUUAACAAAUACUUCUUAAUAUUCUACUAUUGUUAUUUUAUUUUUGUAGGUAGCAUUCAUUAGUUCAUGUAUUGUUCAAAGUUAGUUUACAAUCAAAUUUGUCUUCGACUAUAUCCGUAUCCUCGUUGGGUACGGGAUUUGCUUUGUGUUUUGAUACUUAUUUUUCUAUAACUUGGGGGACCGUAUAUUAGUGUUUUGGAUCA